GAGAGAAGGAGGAGGUUCAACGUCAAGGGGGAAAAAUGCAUGACCACCUGCCUGUUAACCAGCGGCGUCCCUCCGCCACCAGGCAGUCUCCUGGACUCCUGCGCUCCGGAUCUGUGCGGACGCAGAGCUGAGACACCACCCCGAGUGGUCGGGUCCGAGCGGGACCAGGAUUUCCACACUGGUUGGGAGGACCUGUCAUCGUGUCAGAGCUGGACAGCACUCCCUGAGUCAUCUUGAAAUAAAUGAUGGAUUCUGAUGCUUGGAGCUCUCUGACUGAUGUGCAAACUGAGGGUGAAAUUAGGAGAGGAGAUCAGCUUGACUGUUUACUGACGUAUUUAUGAGUUUCUGAAAAUCACCGAGAUUCAGAGCGACUUGAGAUGGAUUUAACAUAAAAAGUACCGUCCAAAGGAGGCAGCAGGAGUGAACAUUUCAUU